GCCGAAGUGGCGGAAUUGGCAGACGCGCUGGAUUCAAAAUCCAGUUCUCGCAAGGGAGUGAGGGUUCGAGUCCCUCCUUCGGUAC
rnacentral:tRNA from 4 species